rnacentral:rRNA from 1 species
UACAGAGGUCCCAAGCGUUGUUCGGAUUCAUUGGGCGUAAAGGGUGCGUAGGCGGCGGGGUAAGUCAGGUGUGAAAUCUCGGAGCUUAACUCCGAAACUGCAUUCGAUACUGCCGUGCUUGAGGACUGGAGAGGAGACUGGAAUUUACGGUGUAGCGGUGAAAUGCGUAGAUAUCGUAAGGAAGACCAGUGGCGAAGGCGGGUCUCUGGACAGUUCCUGACGCUGAGGCACGAAGGUCAGGGGAGCAAACGGG